rnacentral:rRNA from 1 species
GACGAACGCUGGCGGCAGGCUUAACACAUGCAAGUCGAGCGAGCGGCGGACGGGUGAGUAAUGUCUGGGAAACUGCCUGAUGGAGGGGGAUACCUACUGGAAACGGUAGCUAAUACCGCAUACCAUCGGAUGUGCCCAGAUGGGAUUAGCUAGUAGGUGGGGUAAAGGCUCACCUAGGCGACGAUCCCUAGCUGGUCUGAGAGGAUGACCAGCCACACUGGAACUGAGAAACGGUCCAGACUCCUACGGGAGGCAGCAGUGGGGAAUAUUGCACAAUGGGCGCAAGCCUGAUGCAGCCAUGCCGCGUGUGUGAAGAAGGCCUUCGGGUUGUAAAGCACUGUCAGCGAGGAGGCGUUACUCGCAGAAGAAGCACCGGCUAACUCCGUGCCAGCAGCCGCGGUAAUUC